CUGCGUACGGCUCAUUACACCAGCUGUAAUUUACUUGACCUUGACAACCUACUUGGAUAACUGUGGUAAUUCUAGAGCUAAUACAUGCACCAAAGCUCCAAGCUUCGGCGCGGAGUGCAUUUGUUCGCCACAAAACCAAGCGCCCUCUGGGCGUCCAUUGCUGACUCAGAACAACUCAGCUGAUCGCACGGUCUUGUACCGGCGACGUGUCUUUCAAGUGUCUGCCUUAUCAACUUUCGAUGGUAGUGUACCUGACUACCAUGGUUGUGACGGGUAACGGAGGAUCAGGGUUCGACUCCGGAGAAGGGGCCUGAGAAAUGGCCACUACGUCUAAGGAUGGCAGCAGGCGCGCAAAUUACCCACUCUCGACUCGAGGAGGUAGUGACGAGAAAUAACAAGACCGUUCUCACAAGAGGCCGGUCAUUGGAAUGGGUACAACUUAAACCCUUUAACGAGUAUCUAUGAGAGGGCAAGUCUGGUGCCAGCAGCCGCGGUAAUUCCAGCUCUCAAAAUGCAUAGAAUCAUUGCUGCGGUUAAAAAGCUCGUAGUUGGAUCUGUGCUGGUCGCCCGGUCCGCCCGCUGGGCGUGCACUGGUGCGGCCGGCUUUCCUGCCGGUUUUUGCCCGGCGUCGGCCUUCACUGUGUCGGCGUCGGUGGGCCGGCGAGUUUACUUUGAACAAAUCAGAGUGCUUAACACAGGCGUUUCGCUUGAAUGUUCGUGCAUGGAAUAAUAGAAGAGGAUCACGGUCCGAUUUUAUUGGUUUUGCUGACCGAGAUAAUGGUUAACAGAGACAAAC
rnacentral:rRNA from 1 species